UCCCUGGUGGCUCAGACGGUAAAGCAUCUGCCUGCAAUGCGGGAGACCCGGGUUUGAUUCCUGUGUCGGGAA
rnacentral:tRNA from 1 species